rnacentral:rRNA from 1 species
GUGCCAGCCGCCGCGGUAAUACGUAGGGUGCAAGCGUUAAUCGGAAUUACUGGGCGUAAAGCGUGCGCAGGCGGUUUUGUAAGUCUGUCGUGAAAGCCCCGGGCUCAACCUGGGAAUUGCGAUGGAGACUGCAAGGCUUGAAUCUGGCAGAGGGGGGUAGAAUUCCACGUGUAGCAGUGAAAUGCGUAGAGAUGUGGAGGAACACCGAUGGCGAAGGCAGCCCCCUGGGUCAAGAUUGGCGCUCAUGCACGAAAGCGUGGGGAGCAAACAGGAUUAGAU